GAUGAACGCUGGCGGCGUGCCUAAUACAUGCAAGUCGAGCGAACAGAUAAGGAGCUUGCUCCUUUGACGUUAGCGGCGGACGGGUGAGUAACACGUGGGUAACCUACCUAUAAGACUGGAAUAACUCCGGGAAACCGGGGCUAAUGCCGGAUAACAUUUAGAACCGCAUGGUUCUAAAGUGAAAGAUGGUUUUGCUAUCACUUAUAGAUGGACCCGCGCCGUAUUAGCUAGUUGGUAAGGUAACGGCUUACCAAGGCAACGAUACGUAGCCGACCUGAGAGGGUGAUCGGCCACACUGGAACUGAGACACGGUCCAGACUCCUACGGGAGGCAGCAGUAGGGAAUCUUCCGCAAUGGGCGAAAGCCUGACGGAGCAACGCCGCGUGAGUGAUGAAGGUCUUCGGAUCGUAAAACUCUGUUAUUAGGGAAGAACAAAUGUGUAAGUAACUGUGCACGUCUUGACGGUACCUAAUCAGAAAGCCACGGCUAACUACGAG
rnacentral:rRNA from 1 species